rnacentral:rRNA from 16 species
GGAUGCGAUCAUACCAGCACUAAAGCAUCGGAUCCCAUCAGAACUCCGAAGUUAAGCGUGCUUGGGCGAGAGUAGUACUAGGAUGGGUGACCUCCUGGGAAGUCCUUGUGUUCCAUUCC